rnacentral:rRNA from 1 species
GAUCCUGGCUCAGGAUGAACGCUAGCGGGAGGCUUAACACAUGCAAGUCGAGGGGCAGCGGGUGUAGCAAUACAUGCCGGCGACCGGCGCACGGGUGCGUAACGCGUAUGCAACCUACCUUUAACUGGGAAAUAGCCCCGAGAAAUCGGGAUUAAUGUCCCAUACUAUUCUGAGAAUGCAUAUUCUUAGAAUGAAAGCUCCGGCGGUUAUUGAUGGGCAUGCGUGACAUUAGCUAGUUGGUGAGGUAACGGCUCACCAAGGCUACGAUGUCUAGGGGUCCUGAGAGGGUUAACCCCCACACUGGUACUGAGACACGGACCAGACUCCUACGGGAGGCAGCAGUAAGGAAUAUUGGGCAAUGGACGCAAGUCUGACCCAGCCAUGCCGCGUGAAGGAUGAAUGUCCUAUGGAUUGUAAACUUCUUUUAUGCAGGAAAAAUAUCUCGGUCGUGAACCGGGACUGAUGGUACUGUAUGAAUAAGCAUCGGCUAACUCCGUG